AAAUCAGCAAAAAUCAUAAAAAAAAGUUCUUGUCGUUCGGUGUGUAUUCGGCUCUGGUCUGACAUCGAUAGCUAUUUCAGUAGCGGUGGUUAGCUCUUGUCCGACAACAACUGGCUAUCCUAGCGGUUAUAGCCGGAUUUUUUACCAUCAUCAGCCGUUUCUCUUUUAUGGCGAUGUGCGCCUUGUUUUCAGCUUGAGUCAGCCUUUGUGGUGCAUGGCCGACGAGCGGUCUCUUCAUUGUCGAUGACUGACUUUUCUAUAGUAGUUUCAUCGUUCAUCUCUUUGGCGAAUCUGGAUGAAGAUUCUAGAGUUCUUACGUAAAACGUUGUGGCUUCAAUUGAUGACGAAUUUCGGGUUUACUGGUUUGGAGUUCUAUGAUAUUGGAGAACGAUGUCGGUGAUCUAUCUCUUCCGGGGAUCUAGCGCUUUUCCUUUAUUCGUGUCUUUGCUUUUCUUAGGAGGUGACACAUGCUGGUGUGCUGUUUUGCUUAUCUCUUCCAAAAAGGUUUACCGUAUUAGACUUAAUUUGUUUAUAUUGUUGUGUUUAAUUUAUUUUUGUUGUUGAGUUUUGUUUAAUUUGAUUGUUUUUUAAAAAUAAAAAGAUAAUAUUCAACGUU